rnacentral:rRNA from 1 species
GAUGAACGCUGGCGGCGUGCCUAAUACAUGCAAGUCGAGCGAACAGAUAAGGAGCUUGCUCCUUUGACGUUAGCGGCGGACGGGUGAGUAACACGUGGCUAACCUACCUAUAAGACUGGGAUAACUUCGUGAAACCGGAGCUAAUACCGUAACAUAUUUCGAAACGCAUGGUGCGAUAGUGAACGAUGGUUUUGCCAUCACAUAUAUCUGCACACGGGCCGGAUUAGCUAGUUGGUAAGGUAACGGCUUACCAAGGCUACGAUACGUAGCCGACCUGAGAGGGUGAUCGGCCACACUGGAACUGAGACACGGUCCAGACUCCUACGGGAGGCAGCAGUAGGGAAUCUUCCGCAAUGGGCGAAAGCCUGACGGAGCAACGCAGCGUGAGUGAUGAAGGUCUUCGGAUCGUAAAACUCUGUUAUUAGGGAAGAACAUACGUGUAAGUAACUGUGCACGUCUUGACGGUACCUAAUCAGAAAGCCACGGCUAACUACGUGCCAGCAGCCGCAGUAA